rfam:Drosophila busckii chromosome 2R sequence.
CGAAUAAGUGAAUAAAGAGAGCUGUCCAUCGACAGUCCAGCUAUUUUUUAUUAAUACUGUCAUGGAAUUGCUCUCUUUGUAUGAUAUUCG